rnacentral:rRNA from 1 species
GACGAACGCUGGCGGCGUGCCUAAUACAUGCAAGUCGAGCGGACGGAUGGGAGCUUGCUCCCAGACCGUCAGCGGCGGACGGGUGAGUAACACGUGGGCAACCUGCCUGUAAGACUGGGAUAACUCCGGGAAACCGGGGCUAAUACCGGAUAACUCUUUCCCUCACCUGAGGGAAAGCUGAAAGAUGGCAUCUCGCUAUCACUUACAGAUGGGCCCGCGGCGCAUUAGCUAGUUGGUAAGGUAACGGCUCACCAAGGCGACGAUGCGUAGCCGACCUGAGAGGGUGAUCGGCCACACUGGGACUGAGACACGGCCCAGACUCCUACGGGAGGCAGCAGUAGGGAAUCUUCCGCAAUGGACGAAAGCCUGACGGAGCAACGCCGCGUGAGUGAUGAAGGUUUUCGGAUCGUAAAACUCUGUUGUCAGGGAAGAACAAGUACCGGAGUAACUGCCGGUACCUUGACGGUACCUGACCAGAAAGCCACGGCUAACUACGUG